CAGCCGCCGCGGGAAUACGUAGGUGGCAAGCGUUGUCCGGAAUUAUUGGGCGUAAAGGGCUCGCAGGCGGUUUCUUAAGUCUGAUGUGAAAGCCCCCGGCUCAACCGGGGAGGGUCAUUGGAAACUGGGAAACUUGAGUGCAGAAGAGGAGAGUGGAAUUCCACGUGUAGCGGUGAAAUGCGUAGAGAUGUGGAGGAACACCAGUGGCGAAGGCGACUCUCUGGUCUGUAACUGACGCUGAGGAGCGAAAGCGUGGGGAGCGAACAGGAUUAGAUACCCCUGUAGUCCCUGUCUCUUAUAC
rnacentral:rRNA from 1 species